rnacentral:tRNA from 1 species
GAAGGUACAGCUCAGUGGCAGAGUGUGUGCUUAGCAUGCACAAGGUCCUGGGUUCAAUCCCCAGUACUGCCA